CCAGACUCCUACGGGAGGCAGCAGUGAGGAAUAUUGGUCAAUGGUCGGGAGACUGAACCAGCCAAGCCGCGUGAGGGAUGAAGGUACAGAGUAUCGUAAACCUCUUUUGUCAGGGAACAAAGGCGGGGACUAGUCCCCGGAUGAGGGUACCUGAAGAAAAAGCAUCGGCUAACUCCGUGCCAGCAGCCGCGGUAAUACGGAGGAUGCGAGCGUUAUCCGGAUUUAUUGGGUUUAAAGGGUGCGCAGGCGGCUUGUUAAGUCAGGGGUAAAGGCCGGGGGCCCACCCCCGGCGAGCCGUUGAAACUGGCGGGCUGGAGUUGGAGAGAAGUACGCGGAAUGCGCGGUGUAGCGGUGAAAUGCUUAGAUAUCGCGCAGAACCCCGAUUGCGAAGGCAGCGUACCGGCUCCACACUGACGCUGAGGCACGAAAGCGUGGGUAUCGAACAGGAUUAGAUACCCCAGUA
rnacentral:rRNA from 1 species